rnacentral:rRNA from 1 species
AUACGGAGGGUGCAAGCGUUAUCCGGAUUUAUUGGGUUUAAAGGGUGCGUAGGCGGCCCUAUAAGUCGGUGGUUAAAGGUAGCAGCUUAACUGUUUUACAUGCCAUCGAUACUGUAGGGCUUGAGUGAUUUGGAGGUAGCUAGAAUUCCCUGUGUAGCGGUGAAAUGCAUAGAUACGGGGAGGAAUACCGAUUGCGAAGGCAUGUUACUACGAAUUAACUGACGCUGAGGCACGAAAGCGUGGGGAUCAAACAGGAUUAGAUACCCUGGUAGUCCACGCCGUAAACGAUGAUUACUAGUUGUUGGACGCAAGUUCAGUGACCAAGGGAAACCGAUAAGUAAUCCACCUGGGGAGUACGCCGGCAACGGUGAA